AGCCAAUCAGAAUUAGUUUAGCCUGUGCAGUCUAACCCUAGCCAAUAGGGAAAGGAUACAGCAGCAGGGGCCAUGUGCGUCAGGGAUAAGAACCCCUUCCCCUCCCUGGUCCAAGUGUGCACUCACCAUUGCCCCAUCUGUAAGGGCGCACCCUUCUAUAGAAGUACAUUGACUUGCUGAAAAUUAAAAAGAAAAUUUUAUAUUCGAGUGCUAUUUCUUUUGCAGCACCGAAACUUUAUUUAUAACAAUUUGGGGGCUCCCUCGUGAUACAUUCCCCUUCCGGGCAGUCUCUGGUUCUCUCUGGUGAGGACGUGCGCCCCGCCGCCUUGUGGGGGCCUCAGGGGUGAGAAAUCAGGACCCACCCAGUUCCAGGAAUAACCCGAGCUCUCAGCAACGCAGAAAGAAACUGGCCAGCAACCUAGCUUAAAGGAUCCUCACAUACUGCAGAGGUGACUCUGUGCACAGACCAAGGAAGGAGAAGCCGCGGGAGCCGGUUUUUCCAAUUUGACGUGAGAUGAAGAACCUGGAGUUCCUUCACUCAUCAGAGCCAUAUCACAGGGUCUCCUGGCCAAGUCCAAGGAGGACUGGAGAGGGGCCCCUGCUAUGCAGAGUCCCUCACCUGAGCCUGUGCCAGGCCUUCGUGCUGGAGGUGCACCACAGAUGCGGAUGGCCCAACAGCACUUGGAUGGAUAUUUAGUAAAGGAGAAAGCAGAGAGGACGCUUAUAAAUAUAAAUCAGAAAGAAGAUGGACCAAACCCCCUGCUUUGUCUUGGCUCAGAAGGGCUUUGCAGAAGGCCAUGGAAGAUGGCAUGGGAUGCCACCAGCCAGCCAGAUCACACGUAGUGAUGUUCACACUCAAGUUGACCUUUCUGACACCUUGUGAUGGUUAAUACUGAGUGUCAAUUCGAUUGGAUUGAAGGAUGCAAAGUAUUGUUCCUGGGUGUGCCUGUGACGGUGUUGCCAAAGGACAUUAAUUAACAUUUGAGUCAAUGGGCUGGGAGAGGUGGACCCACCCUCAAUCCAAAUGGGCACCAUCUAAUCAGCUGCCAGCACAGCUAGAAUAAAGCAGGCAGAAGGUGGAAGGAGCUAACUUGCUGAGUCUUCUGGCCUCCGUUUUUCUCCUGUGCUGGAUGCUUCCUGCCCUGGAACAUCAAACUCCAAGUCCUUCAGCUUUUGGACUUUUGGACUUAAGCCAGUGGUUUGUCAGGGGUUCUCAGGCCCUUGGCCACAGACUGAAGGCUGCAUUGUUGGCUUCCUUACUUUUGAGGUUUUGGGACUCGACUGGCUUCCUGGCCCCUCAGCUUGCAGACAGCCUACUGUGGGACUUCACCUUGUGCUCAGACAGACUCUCACUAUGUUGCUCAGGCUGGUGUCAAACUCCUGGGCUCAAGCGAUGCUCCUGCCUUGGCCACCGAAAGUGCUGGGAUUACAGGUGAGAGCCACUGUGUUUGACCAAACAUUAUUUUUUUAAAGAACCAGCAGCACGGUUAACCAGACACCCCUUUCUGAUUAAAUGUGCAAUACACAAAACGCUUUCAUAAAUAGUCGUGUAAUAAUUUGCUUAUAGAGCUCUAUGCAAAUUAUUUUUCAAAGUUAUGUCAUUGAGUUUUUUAGGGGGAUAACUCAUGAUAACCAAAUGAAUUUAGACUUAAUUAAGUACAUGGAUUCUAUAGUAGUCACAACGUUGUGAGAGUAAACGUUUUUUUUAAAGGCAAGUAGAUAAUUUGCAGUUGUGUACAUAUGUGCUCCCAGGCUAAUUUUCUUUUCUUUCUUUUCUUUUUUUUGAGACAGAGUCUCACUCCGUCACUCAGGCUGAAGUGCAGUGGUGGGAGCUUGGCUCACUGCAACCCCCGCCUCCCAGGUUCAAGCAAUUCUCUUGCCCCAGCCUCCCGAGUAGCUGGAUUUACAGGCGCAUGCCACCAUGCCCGGCUAAUUUUUUUGUACGUUUAGUAGACACGGGGUUUCGCUAUGUUGGCCAGGCUGGUCUUGAACUCCUGAUCUCAAGUGAUCUGCCCACCUCAGCCUCCCAAAGUGCUGGGAUUACAGGCGUGAGCCACUGCGCCUGGCCGGAAACAACUAUAUUUUAAAAGAAGUAGAAGAUUCAAGUGGUACCAACAAUGCUUACUUUUUCCAGAAAAAUAGAUGUGGGAUUUGAGCUUUGGAAGGUGGCUCUGGUGUGUUGUAGGUGGUGGGCACCUCCAGCUCCUGCUGCUCUUGCAAACUCCAGUUUCCAGAUGGGCCUCACUUCUGCUGCUCCCUGUGGGAAACUCCUCCAGUUUUAUCGUCAGUCAGUUUCCUAAUUUUUUUUUUUUUGUAGUCUUGCUGUGUCACCCAGGCUGGAGUGUAAUGGUGCAAUCUCGGGUCACUGCAACUUCAAGCGAUUCUCCUGCCUCAGCCUCCUGAGUAGCUGGGAUUACAGGCAUGUGCCAUUAUGCCCAGCUAAUUUUUGUACUUUUAGUAGAGACGCAGUUUCACCAUGUUGGCCAGGCUGGCCUUGAACUCCUGACCUCAAGUGAUGCAUCCACCUUGGCCUCCCAAAGGGCUGAAAUUACAGGUGUGAGCCACCUCGCACGGCCAGUUCCCUAUUUUUAUCAGUGCACUUUACCAUUUAUCUACUCAAUUCCUCACCCAUAUGCAAGGCUGCCCUUUUCUGAAGGAUGCUAGUGGUGAAUCCAUUGAAAAAUCCACUGAUUGUGUUCCCCUAGGGCCUCUUCAAGAUGGAAAGAUUCAGGUGGGGCACGGUGGCUCACACCUGUAAUCUCAGCACUUUGGGAGGCCGAGGUGGGCGGAUCACCUGAGGUCAGGAGUUCAAGACCAGCCUGGCCAACAUGACAAAAUCCGUCUCUACUAAAAAUACAAAAAUUAGCCGGGGUGGUGGCUUGUGCCUGUAAUCCCAGCUACUCAGGAGGCUGAGGGAGGAGAAUCGCUUGAACUCAGGAGGCAGAGGUUGCAGUGAGCCAAGAUUGUGCCACUACACACCAUCCUGGGUGACAGAGUGAGACUCUGUCUCAAAAAAAAAAAGCCAGGUGCAGUGGCUCACGCCUGUAAUCCUAGCACUUUGGAGACCGAGGCAGGUGGAUUGCCUGAGCUCAGGAGUUUGAGACCAGCCUGGCCAACAUGGUGAAACCCCGUCUCUACUAAAAUACAAAAAAAUUAGCUGGGCGUGGCAGCAUGUACCUGUAGUCCCAGCUACUCAGGAGGCUCAGGAAGGAGAAUUGCUAGAACCUGGGAGGUGGAGGUUGCACUGAGCCAAGAUUGCACCGCUGUACUCCAGCCUGGGUGACAGAGUGAGACUCUAUCUGGAAAAAAAAAAAAAAAAAAAAAAAAGAUUCUACAGUGAGCACAAAGGUGAAACUCACCUUGAAUGCUUUUACCAAUUGAGUGUGGAUGAACUAAUUCAGAGUAUUGCGGGCCCCUGCUGCAGCAAACACAGAGCUCCCAAAAUGCUCAGGCUAUUGGGAGGCAACUGCCUUGUCAGGGUGGCCAAUGGUUUCCCCAUUGCCAAAUCGGACAGUUAACUCCAGUCCUUGUCUGACUGGAGGCCUGCAGAUCACUGCCUCCUCUGUAACGCUCUUUACCCCCAACCCAGGGAUCCAAGAUGCCCUACUCUAGGAUCAUUUUCUCUGCCUCAUUCAUCACUCAGACUCCUUCAUUUGUUCCUUCUCUUCUCCCUCCUCUGAGUGCUGCAGAGCCCGGGUUUCCAUCCUCAGACCCCUGCCCUGCCUGCUCUCUGUCCCAAGGCAGCACUGCCAGCAUCCGAAAUAAAAAUCCAGCCCUCCUAUUCAUAGUGACAUCGAAUUUCAGAUCAACGACAAAGAGUUUUAUGGCAUAAGCAUGUCCCAAAUAUUGCAUGGCCCCAAAUAUUUACUUAGUUAAUAAGUAAAAAUUGCACAAGACAUACUUAUGCUAAAGAGUAUUGACUAUUUGUCUGAGUCCAAAUGUCUCUGGGCAUGCUGGGUUUCAUCAGGUAAUCCUGCCAUGAUUUCAGUUUCAAGGUGAUACCAUCUAUGGUGACUCUUCUGAAAAUGUUUAUCUCUAGCCUAGGUCUCUCUCCUGAACUGCAGACUCCUGCUGCCUCCAGCACAUCGCCACUUGGGUAAUGAAUAGGUGUCUCAACCUGAACAUGUCAAAAACAACACUCAUUUUUCCCCCCAAUUCCUUGCCGUUCUCACAGGUAGUCUCGUCCCCCCAGCUGCUCACCCACAAGCCUUGCACUCAGCCUUGACUCUGUUCUUCUCACACCCCAUAUCCAGUCUGCCAGGAGGUCCUUGGUCCUCCUGGGCUACACUAAUAGUGCCUCUUGCUGGUCACUGCAACCACCUCCCAUUCCUUUCCCUGCAUUGUCCUGUGCCUCACAUGGUUUUUUUCUCAACAUGCCAGCCAGAAUGACUCUUUGAAAACUUUCUCAUGCCAUGUCACUUUUCAGCCCAUCGCCCUGCAGCAGGUCCCCAUGUUACUCAGUGUAAAAGCCCAAGGUCCUUGCCCCAUCCUGCAAAGCCCCUGUGACUCUGUGGUCUCUGGAACCUUAACUCUUCCACUCUUCCUCCAGACCACUCCCUCUCCCGCAGCCUCCUGGGUGCUCCCACCAGCCAGCAUGCUCCUGCUGCGGAGCUGUGGCCCUGGCUCCUUCCUUCCUCCCGGAAUGCUCUUGGCUCCGGUGUGCAUCAUGGAGAUAGCUCCUGUCUGCCCCCAAAUCGCUGCUCAAACCUCACCUCAGUGAGGCCGGCGCUGACCUCAUCACUGACCUAUUCACCUUCCAAACUGCUCACCUCCCAGGACUCUGAUACUCCUUCCCAACUCUUUUUCAUUCUUCCAUAAAUAACAAUGUCUAACUUAUUAGGCAAUUUCUUCAUUAUAAUUGUCCUUUGUUUUCAGUCUCUUCUCACUAGAAAGGAAAGUCCAUAAUGCCCAGAAUCUUUGUUGGGUUCCCUGAAGAAUGCCAGGCUCCCGGAAGAGGGCCUGCCUCCCAGCAGGCACAUGUGUGUGGAAUGAAUGAAUGAAUGAAUGAAUGAGGCUUGUGCAAACUAACUGCUUGCAGGAAACACCUGCUCCUUCCUGGGCACUGGGUGAAAUCUUUCGUAGAAGUUAACCAUUGACUCUUCUCCCCACCAGCCUCCUCCGUCCCUCACAGUUAAAUGCAGCUGGAAGAGGGGUUGCCCUGUACCUCCAGCUAGGUGGACUCCCCAGGAAAGAGUGACAUCUCACCACUGAGCCACCUCAGCCUUUUCCAGAGACAAGCCUUCUCUAGGCCAAUCAUCAGUGUCACAGCUAUUUGUUCUUGGGAUUUGUGGCUCUAUAUUCACAUGUAAGAAGCCAAGGCACCCAUGGGGAGCCACAGGCACCAACAGAAUACACUGAAAUCAAUCUUGCUGCGACUGGGGCUACAAGCAUGGUUACUUGGCUCACCACAGGAGUGGAAAGAGAAUGUCCCAACUGCCCCUGGUAAAAGGUGACACAGCUGGGUGCAGUGGCUCACACCUGUAAUCCCAGCAAUUUCAGAGGCCAAGGCAGCAGGAUCACUUGAGCCCAGGAGUUCGAGACAUGACUGGGCAACAUGGUGAGUCCUUGUCUCUACAAAAACAAAAUUUAAAAAUUAGCCAGGCAUGUUGGCUCACAUUUGUAGUCCCAGCUACUCAGGAGGCUGAGGAGGGAUGAUUGCUUGGGCUGAGGAAAUCAAGGCUGCAGUGAGCCAUGAUUGUGCCACUGCACUCCAGCCUGGGCAACAGAGAAAGGCCCUGUCUCACCAAAAAAAAAAAAAAAAAGAGAUGCAAGUGAUAAUGUUCAUUCAUUUAAUUAGCAUUUAUUGGACUCUAUUGUUCCAGAUCUUUGAAAACAAGUAUCUUGCCCUCACAAACUAGUAGGGAAUAAACAUAUAAAAACAAUCAAUUAAAUCCCAUUGUGUGAAAUGCAUUAAUAGAGAUUAAUACAAGGCAACACUAUCUUUGACAGGAGUUGGGCUUCCUAGAGCAGAUGGUAAGAUAGUCUUAAAGGCUGUGGGAGGUUAGCUAACUGAUGAGGGGUGAGGUAAGGGUGGUCCUUGGAAAAGUAUGUGCUGUGAUGUGAACUUUCCCACCAAAAUUCAUGUUGACAUUUAACUGGCAAUGUAACAGAACUGGAAGGUGGGACCUUGAAGAGGUGAUUAGGUCAUGAGGGCUAUGGUCUCACAAAUGGAUUAAUGCUGUUUUGAGGGAGUGGGUUUGCUAUCACGGGAGUGGGAUACUGAUAAAAGGAUAAGUUUGGUCCUCAUUUUCUCUCUGUCUCUCGUGCAUGCUUCCUUACAAUGUGAUACCUUUGCCAUGGGUUUACUCUCCCAGAUGCAAUGCCAUGCUCUUGGACUUCGCAGUCUCUAGAACUGUGAGCCAAGUAAACCCCUGUUCUUUAUAAGUGAUCCAGUCUGUAGUAACCGGUUAUAGCAGUGAAAAACGGACUCAGACAGUAUGGAAAGAGAUAAGAGAUGAAACUAGAGAGAGAGAGAGAGAGAGAGAGAGCCAGAUCAUGAAACAUCUUGCAUGUCAUUCUAAAUAAUUUGACUUUUCUCCUGAAAUAAAAAGUAGAAGAAGAGGUUUCUUUGAAGUCAUUCAAGAGUAGAGGGGCCCUGUACUAACCCAGGAGCAGUGGUGGUGAGAGGAGAGGACUUUGGAGAAAUAUCUUUGAGAAGAGAAUUAACAGGAUGCUUUGAGGGCUGUGAGGGAAGAGAAUUAAUAGGAUGCUUUAGGGGUUGGUGGGGGGAAAAGAAGCAAGAGGAACAGGGAAGAAUAGAAGAUAACUUCAAAGUCAUCAGUUGCACCAAAGUGUGGAACUAGAAAGUUGGGAAAUUGGACCUCAGAGAACUGGCCAAGUUGGGGCCAAAGGUUUGUUUUUGGACUUGUUCAAUUUGAGCUUCCUUUGGGACAGAUAAAUGAAGAUAUUUACCAGGUUAUUGGAUAACUGUCUGAGGUUUAGGGAAAAAAUGCCAACUGGAAAUAUAGAUCUGAAAGUUACCUGUAUAUUAAUGGAUGGGGUGAAGGGAGGAGGAAAGAGUGGUCAUUUUUUGAGGUUCUACAUUAUUUCUGGUGCUUCACACAUUCUGUCUCAUUUGAACAUCACAACUAGACCCAUGAAUUUUGUGUAUAAGGAACGUUGAGUCUCCAAAACUUAAGAAUUAGGACUCUGGUUGCAAAUGACAAAGCUAGCUUAAUGGUAAAAUUUAUUAUAAGAAUACAGGGGACUCUCGGGGUACCCAAAUUCAGAGAGGAGAGCAGCAUGUUCUCAUUUUUGUUUUGCAAAACUCACUUUUGCAAAGGCUGUGGGUGAGAAGCAGACUGGAGGGGGCAAGAACAGAGACACGGAGGCCAGCUGGGAUCCUUUUCUUUUCUGCUGCCUCUCUUGCAAAUCAAUCUUGAAGCUAAGUUUCAUUGAACUAGACAUAGCUUUGGCUUUAAACCAAGAUAAAAUGAGCGAUCCUGGAGAAAAGAUCUCCUAUACCUUCUGCCAACUUUUGUCUGAUAGUUGCCUAAUUUCAGUGCUAUUUUUUGGGUGUAAAACUGACUCUCUCUAUAUAAACUCAAAACGCAUGUACUACAGAUGGACUUUCAAUGACACUUCGUAGAAUGAUCAUGAGUUUAAGUAGAAAUUGUCUUUUUACUCUUUCAUGUUAAUAGAAUUUUGUUUCAGCCUUGCCUUUGGAUCUGAAAUCCUAGGAAAUACAGUGGAAAGAAUUCUGUGGUGAGAAUCAUUAAACACUGAGUCUGGUUCAGCGCUGCUUCCUGUUACUUGUGUGACCCUGGACAGGCAAACCCAGCCUCCCUGGCUCUGAUCCCUCCUCUGUUAAAUGAGGGAUUUGGAUUGACACGAGUACUUCUCAAACUUUAGUGAAUCUUCUGGGGAUGUUGUUAAAAUGCAGUAUGUAUUCACCAGACCUGGGGUGGGGCCUGAGACUCUGCAUUUCCAACAAGUUCCUAGGUGAUACUGAUGCUGCUGGCUCAGGAUCGCACUCCAAUUAGGCCACCCUCCAAGGUGCCAUCAUGCUGUAAGCUAUAACAACUACCAAAUAAAGAAAAGCAUUAUGUCAACAAUGGAUAACAAUAAAUACUUAUUUUAGAAAAUAAAUAUAGCUUUUUCUUUUUUUGAAACAGGGUCUUACUUUGUCACCUAGGCUGGAGUGCUGUGGCAUGAACACAGCUCACUGCAGCCCCGACCUCCAGGGCUCAGGUAUCCUCCUGCCUCGGUCCCCCAAGUAGCUGGGACUACAGGUGUGCACCACCAUGGUUGGCUAAUUUUUGUGUUUUCUGUAAAGACAGGGUUUUGCCAUGUUGCCCAGGCUGGUACAAAUAUAGCUUUAGUUUUCUGUUUGUAAAAGUAAUGCAUGCUUACGAAAAUUGUUCUUAAAAAAAUCACAUAGGCCGGGCGCGGUGGCUCACGCCUGUAAUCCCAGCACUUUGGGAGGCCGAGGAGGGCGGAUCACGAGGUCAGGAGAUCGAGACUAUCCUGGCUAACACGGUGAAACCCCGUCUCUACUAAAAAUACAAAAAAUUAGCCGGGCGUGGUGGCGGGCGCCUGUAGUCCCAGCUACUGGGGAGGCUGCGGCGGGAGAAUGGCGUGAACCCAGGAGGUGGAGCUUGCAGUGAGCCGAGAUCGCGCCACUGCACUCCAGCCUGGGCGACAGCGAGACUCCGUCUCAAAAAAAAAAAAAAAAAAAAAAAAAAUCACAUACCAUGCAAUGACAGUAAAAAUCAUCCCAAGUUUCAUACCACUUGAACUAAUGUGCUCUAUUGUCACUUGGCUAUGAAGAAUACAAGUGCUAGGUUUCAGUAUUGGCAUCGUAUUACCUUGUCUUUUAAAAUCAGGUUGUGAAACUGGUAUCUUUUUCAAUUUGUUGCCAAUCAGUUAUGCGUUAAUUGAUUUGAAUUCAGUUCCUUCUGUUGUGGUAGAUUUGCUUCUGUAUCGUAUGAUUUCAAGUUGCUCAUUGCCUGAAUUCAGGACAGGGUAGUGGGUGGCUUUCUGGGGCCAUCUCAGGCGGGCUGAAUUGACCUGAAGAUGGCAAUAAGAGAAAAAAGCCAAGUAAAUAUCAAGAACAAUUUUUAGCAUAAAAUUCAGUGUUAAGAUUCAUUGAGAGCUAAUCAAUAGAAACGAAGGUUCUGUAAAUACAUCCAUCUUAUGGGAAUAACUUAGGUCAUAACCAUUGUUGGCAAAGGAGGAAAUUUUUCUUAGUUCCUCUGCACUUUCCCCAAUGAUAUUAAUGUUACACCUCUUUGAUCGUACUUGAAAUGAUUGUAAUAAUAACGAGAGCCGUAAGAGUUUGUUGGUCAUAAAAACAUACAACAUUUUAAGAACUUUAUUGGGUUUUUAUUGACAUAUAUAACUAUUAAAUAUAAGAUUAUAGACCCCAAAUAUCAAAUUAACUUUAGCAUUUACAAUUUUCCUUUGUCUCCUCUAAGCAGCCACAAUUUCCAAUGUAGCACAUAAUGAGGUCAUCAUAGUUGCAAAUCUAUAUCUUCAUAUUGUAUAACUUGAGAACAUUUUUAAACUCAGUGUAUAGGUUUGUGUGGAUGUUGUAUCAAUGUUCACAACACGAGGCAAGUGGAAAUAAAGCAAAAAUACUGUUAAUGUGUAAUAACAUUGUGCUAACAGAAUGGGCAAUUUGUAACAAUGCCAUCAGUGACUCCACUAUCUAGCACAACAGUUAAUACAUAGUGUGUAAGUUCACAUUUCAGAUAAGUGAUAGUUAUCAUUUUAAGUACCAAAACUUAGGUUUAAAGAAGUUUCUGAGAUAUGCAGAAUUCUACCUCUCACUGGGCUUUGAAAAUAUGUUACUCCUCAGGACUCACCGUGUCGUAAGCAUCACUGAUUAUUGUUUAUGUCUGUUCUAAAUUGCAGAAACAGUUUCAGAAACCUAGGUUAUUUGGUUUUUAGUCCUAAUCUUGUUACUGUAAAAGUCACACGUGUUCAUCCAUUGUAGAAAGUUCUCCAAAGUGCAAUCACAUAUAAAGAAGCAAAUAAAAAUCAUCCUCAAUCUCACUCUCCAGAAGUAAUGAUUAUUAACAGUUUCAUGAUCUUCAUCACACUGCAUUAAGUUUCCCAGAGCUGCCAUCACAAAUUAGCACAAACUGUGUGACUUAAAACAACAGAAAUUUAUUCUCUUACAGUUCACGAGGCCAGGAAUCUAAAAUUAAGGCAUCAGCAGGGUUGGGUCCUUCUGGAGGCUCUCAGAGAGUCUGUUCCAUGCGUCUCUCCUGGUUUCUGGUGUUUGCCAGCAAUCUUUGAUUCAUAGACACAUCAUUCCCAUCUCUACCUCCGCCAUCACAUGGCCUUAUUCUAUGUGUGUGUCUUUCUGCAUCCUCUCCUCUUUUUAUAAGGACACCAGGUAUUGGGUCUAUAGCCCAUCCUAAUCCAGAAUGACUUCGUCUCAGCUGAUUAACAUCUGCAAAGACUCUGUUUCUAAACAAAUUCAUAUUGUGAGGUUCUGGGUGAACAUGAAUUUGUGGGGGACACUGGGGGACACUUAUUCAACCCACUACACACACUGUAAUAUAUAUUUAUAGAAUCACGAAAACGGGACCAUAAUUUAUAUAAAGCUUAGUUCCCUUUACACUUAAGAUACCAUGAAUUUCCCUAGGUCUUUCAAACACAGAAUUUUAAUUUUUUGUAGAGUGUUUCAUCAUAUGAAGAUUACAUCAUUUCCAUAGCUAACCUGCUACUUCAAACACUCAGAUGGUUUCCAGACUUUACUAUUAUAAAUGGCUCUGAUGAAUAUACAUGUUCCCAAAUCUUUGAAUUUAUCUCUGCUUAUGUCCUUGGUAUAAAUUAUUCUGAGUCGAAUUAUUGGAUUAAGGGGUAUGAACAUUUUAAAGGCUCAUGAAAAAUCUUCUUUAAUUGAAUUCCAGAGAUUGUAUCAAUUUGCCAUCACCAGCAGAAGAGAGAACCCAUGGCAUUGCAUUCUCUGCACUGCACGUUCUAGCUUUUUGAGUGUUGGACAAGUGACUAGGCAAAGAAAUAACAUCCUUACUUUGUGACUUGUAUUUUUAUGUAAGGUUGCCUCUUUGUUUACGGACCACUUAUAUAUCUUUUUUAGGUUACCAAUUUAUGAUUUGUGUCUCCUUUUCAAUUUUUUUCUCCUCUCUCCAACUGCCAGUAUUUAUUUCUUACCAUCUCACGGAUGAGUAUACUGUCCACCUCCACCCCUUUUAGAGUCCACUGUUAGCUAAGAAACUAUGUAGAUGUAUCCUCCCUCUCCUUUUCCCAUUCUCGAACCACCUCUGAAUCUUGUACAAAUGUCAAUCAUUGCCUCCAUUGUGUCUUAACUGUUUACAUUUCGCUUUCCCUUCUAAGACUUUGAGCACUUUGGGGCCAUUUCCAUGUCUUAUCUGUGUUUUUGUAUCUUCAGCAACUAACAUGGAUGCUCAAUAAACAUACAUUGAACUGAGUUGUUACGUUGUGACCUGGAAAUAUUCACAAUUCCUUGUAUAGAUAGAAAUAGCUAAAUAAGGGCACAUAAGGAUAGACUCUAAAUGGCACUCAAUAAUGUGCAUAGGGCUGGGCGUGGUGACUCCCUGCCUGUAAUCACAGCACUUUGGGAGGUGGAGGUGGAUCACCUGAGGUCAGGAGUUAGAGACCAGCCUGGGCAACAUGGUGAAACUUCGUCUCAACCAAAAACACAAAAAAUCAGCUGGGUGUGGUAGUGUAUGUCUGUAAUCCCAGCUAUUUGGGAGGCUGCAGCACGAGAAUUGCUUGAACACAGGAGGUGGAGGUUGCAGUGAGCUGAGAUCGUAUCAUUGCACUCCAGCCUGGGCAACAGAGCAAGACUCUGUCUCAAAAAAAAAAGCAUAGGAUUUAAUCCAUGAAUUUUGAAUUUCUAUGUUAAAUUUUUAGAAAUAGUAACUUUUUCUCCCAUAUUUCUCAGCUAUAUCUGAGAUAACUGGGACUGAGCAACAUUGUCUAGACAGGCAAAGUGUUAGCAAUAAUAAGUAUAAUAAUAAUUGUAAUGUAAUAAUGGAAUGAGGAUGUUAAAGUACUGAGAUCAGGAUAAAAGUUACAAUUGUCCAAAUUUUAAAUUUCCUAUCAUUUCCACUGAAAUCACUGACUGUACUUAUAACAUUAUCAGGAAUUUAUGCAAUUUGUAGGUUUUGAAAUAAAUUACCAUUCAGAAUUCAACCGUGAAAAACAGUGUAACUCUACUUGAAAAACACUUUGAAAAACUCAAGUUUCCACCAAAUCUAGAAGCACAUGGGUCGUAAAACAUAGUUCGAAAAGUUACGAGAGAUGAUGACUACAAGGAACUUUUUAUAAAAAUCUUUUAUAAGCAUUACUCUGUGGUCAAAUUUAUUUUCACAUGGAUAUUAAAACAAGUUAUUGCUAC
rnacentral:lncRNA from 10 species